rnacentral:rRNA from 1 species
GUGCCAGCCGCCGCGGUAAUACGGAGGGUGCGAGCGUUGUCCGGAAUCACUGGGCGUAAAGGGCGCGUAGGUGGCUUGGCAAGCGUGUGGUGAAAGCCCGGGGCUCAACCCCGGGUCUGCCGUGCGAACUGCUAUGGCUUGAGCACUGUAGAGGCAGGUAGAAUUCCGGGUGUAGCGGUGGAAUGCGUAGAGAUCCGGAAGAAUACCGGUGGCGAAGGCGGCCUGCUGGGCAGUGGCUGACACUGAGGCGCGACAGCGUGGGGAGCAAACAGGAUUAGAUACCCUUGUAGUCC